rnacentral:rRNA from 1 species
AUUGAACGCUGGCGGCAGGCCUAACACAUGCGAGUCGAGCGGAUGAAGGGAGCCUGCUCCUGGAUUCAGCGGCGGACGGGUGAGUAAUGCCUAGGAAUCUGCCUGGUAGUGGGGGAUAACGUCCGGAAACGGGCGCUAAUACCGCAUACGUCCUGAGGGAGAAAGUGGGGGAUCUUCGGACCUCACGCUAUCAGAUGAGCCUAGGUCGGAUUAGCUAGUUGGUGGGGUAAAGGCCUACCAAGGCGACGAUCCGUAACUGGUCUGAGAGGAUGAUCAGUCACACUGGAACUGAGACACGGUCCAGACUCCUACGGGAGGCAGCAGUGGGGAAUAUUGGACAAUGGGCGAAAGCCUGAUCCAGCCAUGCCGCGUGUGUGAAGAAGGUCUUCCGAUUGUAAAGCACUUUAAGUUGGGAGGAAGGGCAGUAAGUUAAUACCUUGCUGUUUUGACGUUACCAACAGAAUAAGCACCGGCUAACUUCGUG